GCACCGGCGCAGACUGGAUGCGUUAUGUAGAUUAUAGAAAGGGACAUCCGCAAACAAUUUUCAUCAAAAGCAAACAUCUAAAGACAAAAAUAUGCUACUUAACCCAUCAAAAUGUGUCGUUGAGUAACUGAUUAGGUUGGAUUGAGGGUUUUUGACCGAAGAUGAAUUGGUUUACAAGGUGUAAUUUGUAACUCAUUUUCUUGAGCUGUUGAAAGAAUGCAGAAUGAUGAGAGACAAAUGGCAGAGAAACAACAUCAAAACAUGGAUGGAAGCAAUGUGGUAUUCCCGUCUGGGUUACCACAGACAAUACUUGUUCACCAUGUGCAUUCCACACAACAGCAACUACUAAAUAAAUCAGAUGCAAGCAGCAGUGGUGUAGAUGAGUU